UAAUGGGUGAUGGCGUGCCUUUUGUAGAAUGAACCGGCGAGUUACGAUUUGAUGCAAGGUUAAGCAGUAAAUGUGGAGCCGUAGCGAAAGCGAGUCUGAAUAGGGCGUUUAGUAUUUGGUCGUAGACCCGAAACCAGGUGAUCUACCCUUGGUCAGGUUGAAGUUCAGGUAACACUGAAUGGAGGACCGAACCGACUUACGUUGAAAAGUGAGCGGAUGAACUGAGGGUAGCGGAGAAAUUCCAAUCGAACCUGGAGAUAGCUGGUUCUCUCCGAAAUAGCUUUAGGGCUAGCCUCAAGUGAUGAUUAUUGGAGGUAGAGCACUGUUUGGACGAGGGGCCCCUCUCGGGUUACCGAAUUCAGACAAACUCCGAAUGCCAAUUAAUUUAACUUGGGAGUCAGAACAUGGGUGAUAAGGUCCGUGUUCGAAAGGGAAACAGCCCAGACCACCAGCUAAGGUCCCAAAAUAUAUGUUAAGUGGAAAAGGAUGUGGCGUUGCCCAGACAACUAGGAUGUUGGCUUAGAAGCAGCCAUCAUUUAAAGAGUGCGUAAUAGCUCACUAGUCGAGUGACACUGCGCCGAAAAUGUACCGGGGCUAAACAUAUUACCGAAGCUGUGGAUUGUCCUUUGGACAAUGGUAGGAGAGCGUUCUAAGGGCGUUGAAGCAUGAUCGUAAGGACAUGUGGAGCGCUUAGAAGUGAGAAUGCCGGUGUGAGUAGCGAAAGACGGGUGAGAAUCCCGUCCACCGAUUGACUAAGGUUUCCAGAGGAAGGCUCGUCCGCUCUGGGUUAGUCGGGUCCUAAGCUGAGGCCGACAGGCGUAGGCGAUGGAUAACAGGUUGAUAUUCCUGUACCACCUAUAAUCGUUUUAAUCGAUGGGGGGACGCAGUAGGAUAGGCGAAGCGUGCGAUUGGAUUGCACGUCUAAGCAGUAAGGCUGAGUAUUAGGCAAAUCCGGUACUCGUUAAGGCUGAGCUGUGAUGGGGAGAAGACAUUGUGUCUUCGAGUCGUUGAUUUCACACUGCCGAGAAAAGCCUCUAGAUAGAAAAUAGGUGCCCGUACCGCAAACCGACACAGGUAGUCAAGAUGAGAAUUCUAAGGUGAGCGAGCGAACUCUCGUUAAGGAACUCGGCAAAAUGACCCCGUAACUUCGGGAGAAGGGGUGCUCUUUAGGGUUAACGCCCAGAAGAGCCGCAGUGAAUAGGCCCAAGCGACUGUUUAUCAAAAACACAGGUCUCUGCUAAACCGUAAGGUGAUGUAUAGGGGCUGACGCCUGCCCGGUGCUGGAAGGUUAAGAGGAGUGGUUAGCUUCUGCGAAGCUACGAAUCGAAGCCCCAGUAAACGGCGGCCGUAACUAUAACGGUCCUAAGGUAGCGAAAUUCCUUGUCGGGUAAGUUCCGACCCGCACGAAAGGCGUAACGAUUUGGGCACUGUCUCAACGAGAGACUCGGUGAAAUCAUAGUACCUGUGAAGAUGCAGGUUACCCGCGACAGGACGGAAAGACCCCGUGGAGCUUUACUGUAGCCUGAUAUUGAAAUUCGGCACAGCUUGUACAGGAUAGGUAGGAGCCUUUGAAACGUGAGCGCUAGCUUACGUGGAGGCGCUGGUGGGAUACUACCCUAGCUGUGUUGGCUUUCUAACCCGCACCACUUAUCGUGGUGGGAGACAGUGUCAGGCGGGCAGUUUGACCGGGGCGGUCGCCUCCUAAAAGGUAACGGAGGCGCUCAAAGGUUCCCUCAGAAUGGUUGGAAAUCAUUCAUAGAGUGUAAAGGCAUAAGGGAGCUUGACUGCGAGACCUACAAGUCGAGCAGGGUCGAAAGACGGACUUAGUGAUCCGGUGGUUCCGCAUGGAAGGGCCAUCGCUCAACGGAUAAAAGCUACCCCGGGGAUAACAGGCUUAUCUCCCCCAAGAGUUCACAUCGACGGGGAGGUUUGGCACCUCGAUGUCGGCUCAUCGCAUCCUGGGGCUGUAGUCGGUCCCAAGGGUUGGGCUGUUCGCCCAUUAAAGCGGUACGCGAGCUGGGUUCAGAACGUCGUGAGACAGUUCGGUCCCUAUCCGUCGUGGGCGUAGGAAAUUUGAGAGGAGCUGUCCUUAGUACGAGAGGACCGGGAUGGACAUACCUCUGGUGUACCAGUUGUCGUGCCAACGGCAUAGCUGGGUAGCUAUGUGUGGACGGGAUAAGUGCUGAAAGCAUCUAAGCAUGAAGCCCCCCUCAAGAUGAGAUUUCCCAACUUCGGUUAUAAGAUCCCUCAAAGAUGAUGAGGUUAAUAGGUUCGAGGUGGAAGCAUGGUGACAUGUGGAGCUGACGAAUACUAAUCGAUCGAAGACUUAAUCAA
rnacentral:rRNA from 1 species